AAACCAACAGGGAUUACCUUAGUAACGGCGAGUGAAGCGGUAAGAGCUCAAAUUUGAAAUCUAGCACUUUCAGUGUUCGAGUUGUAAUUUGAAGAAGGUAACUUUGGAGUUGGCCCUUGUCUAUGUUCCUUGGAACAGGACGUCACAGAGGGUGAGAAUCCCGUGCGAUGGGGUGUCCAACUCUAUGUAAAGUGCUUUCGAAGAGUCGAGUUGUUUGGGAAUGCAGCUCUAAGUGGGUGGUAAAUUCCAUCUAAAGCUAAAUAUUGGCGAGAGACCGAUAGCGAACAAGUACAGUGAUGGAAAGAUGAAAAGAACUUUGAAAAGAGAGUGAAAAAGUACGUGAAAUUGUUGAAAGGGAAGGGCUUUAGAUCAGACUUGGUGUUUAGUACUCUUCACUCCUUGUGGGUGGAGCUCUUGCUUUAUACUGGGCCAGCAUCGGUUUGGAUGGUAGGAUAAUAGCAUUGGAACGUGGCUUCGCUUCGGUGGAGUGUUAUAGCCUUUGUUGAUACUACCUAUCUAGACCGAGGACUGCGUCUUUUGACUAGGAUGCUGGCGUAAUGAUCCAAAGCCGC
rnacentral:rRNA from 4 species